rnacentral:rRNA from 1 species
GGGCCCUUAAGGUGUAGGACGGGAAGAGCCCAAGAUUGAAAGCUGGCGUCUUCGGCGUCCGCAUUGUAAUCUCAAGAAGUGUUUUCCGCUUCGGACCAAGCCUAAGUCCCUUGGAAAAGGGCAUCAUAGAGGGUGAUAAUCCCGUACAUGGCUUGGAGCGCCCGAAGCUUUGUGAUACGCUUUCUAAGAGUCGAGUUGUUUGGGAAUGCAGCUCAAAAUGGGUGGUAAAUGCCAUCUAAGGCUAAAUAUUGGGGAGAGACCGAUAGCGAACAAGUACAGUGAUGGAAAGAUGAAAAGAACUUUGAAAAGAGAGUUAAACAGUACGUGAAAUUGCCAAAAGGGAAGGGUAGGAGGUCAGAGAUGCGGCCUGGGAUUCAGCCUUGCUUUUGCUUGGUGUUUUUCCCAGAUUGCAGGCCAACGUCGGUUUUGGGCACUGGAGAAGGGUAGGAGGAACGUGGCACCUCUCGGGGUGUGUUAUAGCCUCCUACUGGAUACAGCGACCGAGACCGAGGACAGCAGCGUACUCGCAAGAGCGGGCCUUCGGGCACCUUUACGCUUAGGGCGUUGGCAUAAUGGCCCUCUACCACCCGUCUUGAAACAACGGACCA